AAGGGGGGGAGGGAGGAGGGGGCGAGGAGGGGACUGCACCUGGCCGCCCCCGCCCCCGGCGUCCCGGCCCGUGCGUGGCCCGCAACCCACCGCCGCUCCGCUCUGCCAGCCCCGGCGGGGGGCUCAGGGGGCGGCGGGUCCCGAGUGGCUCCGGGCCGAGCGAGCCGGGCCGAGCCGCUCCGGCUUCUUUGUCUGCGGGCGGCCGCCCCGGCCGCGGCCCCCUGGCCCGGGCUGGGGGAUGAGUGUCUAGCCGGUGGCCGCUGGGCAGCCGGGGAGCGGGAGGCUGGGCUUCGGGCUCCGAAUGCACUAGGUGUGGGCUGGCGCCUACCACACCCUGCAGUGAGCAUGGAUCCCGGAGCUGGAUCGGACUCAUCUCUGACUGUCAAUGAGCAGGUCAUUGUGAUGUCAGGCCACGAGACCAUCCGAGUAUUGGAGGUGGGAGUGGAUGCCCAGCUUCCAGCCGAGGAGGAGAGCAAAGGACUGGAGAGUGUGGCAGCUGGUGGCUCCCAGAGUGGAGGCCCUGUUGAAGCCAGUGGACCUGCUGAAGCUGGGUCAUGUGACCCCGACCAUUCUGCAGAGGCAACUGUGAAGUCGCUGCCCGGAGUCCCUCCGAGUCCUGCCCCAGCGAUUGCCACCUUCAACCAAGCCCCGAGCCAGCCUCAGGCAUCACAGACCCUGACGCCGCUGGCUGUACAAGCUGCCCCCCAGGUCUUGACUCAGGAAAGCUUAGCCACAGUUCUGACAGGAGUUAUGGUCCCAGCAGGGACUGUUACUCAACCUCUUCUUAUCCCCAUCGGUAUUACAGGUCAAGUGGCUGGGCAGCAGGGGCUGGCCGUGUGGACAAUCCCUACAGCAACUGUGGCUGCCCUCCCAGGACUGACCGCGGCCUCUCCCACGGGGGGAACUUUCAAGCCACCUUUAGCUGGUCUCCAAGCAGCUGCCGUGCUGAACACCGCUCUCCCGACACCUGUACAAGCUGCCCCACCAAUCCAGGCCUCCUCGCCCGCCCAGCCCCGGCCACCAGCUCAGCCCCAGCCACUGUUCCAGACCCAGCCGCUGCUACAGACCACGCCUGCCAUCCUCCCACAACCCACCGCUGCCACCGUUGCUGCCCCCACACCCAAGACAGUGGACGCCACCCCGCAGAUCACUGUCCAGCCUGCAGGCUUCGCAUUUAGCCCAGGGAUCGUAAGCCGCUGCCCUCACCCAGGGCUGACGAGGGAUGGACCAAAGCUUGGGCCAAGGGUGGAAUGUCCCCCACAGUGGAGGACCAGCUCCUUGAACACAGCCAUUCCCGGCACAUCAGCAAAGAUGGGCUCCCAUUGAGAUCAGUGCAGCCUCCCUCGGGGGACAGACGCAGAUCCUGGGCUCCCUCACUACAGCUCCAGUUAUUACCAACACCAUUCCCAGCAUGCCCGGGAUCAGCAGUCAGAUCCUCACGAAUGCUCAGGGACAGGUUAUUGGAGCACUUCCGUGGGUAGUGAACUCAGCUAGCGUGGCCACACCAGCACCGGCACAGAGCCUGCAGGUCCAAGCCGUGACUCCCCAGCUCUUGUUGAAUGCCCAGGGCCAGGUGAUCGCAACCCUAGCCAGCAGCCCCCUGCCUCAGCCUGUGGCUGUCAGGAAGCCAAACACACCGGAGUCCCCUGCUAAGAGUGAGGUGCAGCCUAUCCAGCCGACACAAGCCGUGCCCCAGCCUGCAGUAAUCCUCACCAGCCCAACGCCAGCGCUCAAGCCGUCAGCUGCAACUCCCAUCCCAAUCACCUGCUCAGAGACCCCAACCGUCAGUCAGUUGGUAUCAAAGCCGCACACCCCAAGUCUGGAUGAGGACGGGAUCAACUUAGAAGAGAUCCGGGAGUUUGCUAAGAAUUUUAAGAUCCGGCGGCUCUCCCUGGGUCUGACACAGACCCAGGUGGGCCAGGCUUUGACGGCGACAGAAGGGCCGGCCUACAGCCAAUCAGCCAUCUGCAGGUUUGAGAAAUUGGACAUCACACCCAAGAGCGCCCAGAAGCUGAAGCCGGUUUUGGAAAAGUGGUUGAUGGAGGCAGAGCUCCGCAACCAGGAAGGCCAGCAGAACCUGAUGGAGUUCGUGGGCGGCGAGCCCUCCAAGAAACGCAAGCGGCGCACUUCCUUCACACCGCAGGCCAUAGAGGCUCUCAAUGCCUACUUUGAGAAAAACCCCCUGCCCACCGGCCAGGAGAUCACGGAGAUCGCCAAGGAGCUCAACUACGACCGGGAGGUGGUGAGGGUCUGGUUCUGUAAUCGACGCCAGACACUGAAGAACACCAGCAAGCUGAACGUCUUUCAGAUCCCGUAGGGCUCAGUGUCAGCGUGUGCCGGCGCACUGUACUCUUCCCUCAGCAACCAGCCGAAGUCACUGCGGUGACUGUACUGUGUGCAGCUGCGUUUGCCCUAGGUCGUGAGCCUCCACCUGUGCAUGCGUGUCAAUGCCUGCCUCUUCUGCCCACAUAUGUCACACCCUGGGGAGGCCUGAGGGGCUGCAUGAGAGCCUUAGGCUCUGGCUGGGCAUGUGGAAGGAGGGGGUUUGUGGAGUCAUAGAAAAGCACUUUGCUAAGGUGGUUUCUGAAGGGCGAGUUCCGGUUGGGAACCAGAAAGGCUCUGUCUUUGGGGCAGGGCUGUAGCAACUUUUGGGGACAACUGUGUAGUAGCUCUUGGUUUUGGUGGCACCCUUUGCUCUUCCCUUCGCUCCUCUGUGGUUGUGCCCAUGUGACAACUGCAGCCUCACACUGCCUCCCUAACUCUGUCUAUGGGCACACUGAACCCCUUAAAGGACAGAGGCGAUAGAAUCCAGAGAAGCAUGGUGUGCUGCUCAGACUCACUGGCUGCCUUGAUCUUGAGGGCAGAAGGUUCCCAAAGUGAAGCUGAGGGGUCGGAUGCCCAAGGUCAGGAGCUGCGAGGUCUCUCCCCAGGUCCUGCUGGUGGUGGGUUUGUGCUCACUCGAAAUGUUUUCUCCCGCAAACCAAGUUGGAAGGAAGCAAGAGUAAACUCUCUCACCCUGGAGAGUCUUAGGUCUGUGGCAGGCCUGGAGUUUAUAAAGUAAAUGAGGACAUCCACCCAGACUUAUCUAAGUUUCCAGCUGUCUUCCAACACAAGAGCAUGCUAGAGUUUGGGAAAUUUUCCUCUGCCCACUUACACAGACAGCAGCAUGGGGCACGGAUUCCGACUGACUUUCCCCCCUCUCGUGCCCUUACCCAUCUCAGUGCAGGACUGAGAUGUCUUCAAAGGAGCCAAUUGAACCAAAAGCCAGACAUGGAGGAGCUGGCGUGGGAGGAAGACAGUAUCUAAAGGGAUGAUGGUCCGGGGAGGUCUCUUGUUGAGGCUGACUUAACUCUAGUUUUGUUUGUAAUUAAGUCUUGGAGAUCUCCAGAGACGUCACUUUGUCCAGUUGUAGACCAGAUCUGUCUUUGAGCAACCCUCCCCUCCACCCCCCGUCCUCAUCCCUCUGGGGUGCUCCUCUGAGCCAACAGUGCCCAGGUCAGGACUUUCCCUGGGUAGGUGAUGGCAAUCCGGGACCUGGCAUCACACCCAAGCCACUAAGCCAGACUUUGCAGCCACAGAGAGGCUGGCAGACUUUUCACUUCAGUGCAUUGGCUGGGGAAUGUGGCUCAGCGGGAGAGAGCUUGGCAUGUAUAAGGCUCCAGAGUCAGAUUGUAGCACCAAGGGGAAACACUUUGCUUUCAAGAAGUCAGGAAAGAGCUAAGACGUUCUCUUGGAUGACCCCUUUACAAGCUGUGGGCAUCAACUGUCUCGAUACUUUUGGGGUUGGUUUGUUGGCUUUUGUUUUGUUUUGUUUGUGAUAGGAUCACACUGUAGCCCAGGCUAACCUCAGACUUGGAAUUGAAGGCGACCUGAUCCUCCUGUCUCCCCCCACCUCCCAAGCACUGGGUCUGCAGUCGCGUGCCACUGUGCCGCUGUGCCUGGCUCUUCUCCACUCCACAGCCUUACUGAGCUUGCUCUCUGGAUGAUGUUGACAUCACGUGAUCUACCCUGAAGCAAUGACUCUCAAACAUGGACAUGAUGCAGAGACACCAGGGCUCAGCUUUCUCUCUCGUACCCUGUUCCCUUUCCUGGUCCUCUUGGGUCCUGCAGUACUGGUGUGGAGGGACCUCCUAGUAGCUCUGACAAUGAGAGGAGGGCAGUUGUGUGCUGAUCACACACACACACACACACCACAAGUCUGUCAGGUAUAAGGAGACAAGUAGGUUGCUUUCCUGAUCCUGCCUCCCAAGAAAGAAUAAUUCCCAGAGCGAUUCUAGGUCAUGUGAUUAUCAUCCUGCUUCUGUGAGAUGGAAGUCAGGAGGGGUCCUGUAAGAGAGCUUUCAGUAGGGAUGCUUAGAGCCCUGAAGCUUAUCAAGAUGAUGCACCUGAGAAAACUAUAUGCAGAUCUGCAGCUUUUCUUGCUCAAAGCCUGCACUCAGGAGGUACUACACAGUCAGCCAUGCUGUGGUCAGCCAUGCUGUGGUCAGCCAUGCUGUGGACAUGGGAGAGGAUGCCAUGCAGUCUAUGCAUGACAGGCGGGGAUAAUCAUGGCCCACUAAAUUAAGCCGACCACUCGUUCUCACCCCGUCCUUUGUCCAAAUCUGUCUUCUCAAGGCUGGCCUAGAGUGAACCAUUUUCUCCUGUGUUGGAAAGAUAUAUUGGUCUUUCAGAACAGUACCAUGUUUACAGGCUGGACUUCUCAAGGAAGGGAUUCAAGAGUAUAAAGUGUACCCAAAGUGGGGUUCGCUUUGGCCUUUGGACUCUGCUCCCCAGCCUGGGCCACUGAUCUACAGUCUUUGUUAUUUUGGGGAGCAUUAGACUCUAAAAAAGUUUUAAUAGCAGUUUUAUCAUGAAAGCACCUUCUCGGACGUAAACCCGCGCUCGAUGGCUUUUUUUGCCCUGGAAAGGGGAGAAUGGGAGGAAGUAGUUCAACUGUGUGGUUGGUUUGUUUUAAGUGAUGGGAAACCAAGACACUCUGUGGCCCUGCUGAAUCAGCUGCGCCCUUCGACCCUGCACUAACUAUGGCACUUCACCCAAGCAAAGUGAACCGUGAACACACGUGAGUUUGGAAUGAGAACACCUGAUGUGUUUGUGUUCUUGAAAAGCCAGUCACCUUCCUAUUCCCAGGACGCCUUUCCUGCCUGGUGGGCCAAAUCCCGAAGUCCCAACAUUCUCCUGGCACGGCAAGGGGCCACUGCCCACUGCUAGCUGGGGAGGAGGAAGGGGGAGUAUUGCCGUAGCGUGUGAAUAAACAGUAUUUUUUUCUUUCGUA